GACACCAGGGCCGAAAGGUCAUGGAUUUCAUGCUUGCAUGAAAUCCAUGAAUUUGAGGCCCGCUAAAACAUGAAAAAGGAGCCCGACAGGGCGGAUUUUGAAUGUUUUCAGGAUUUCGGGAGCCUGAAGGGCGGAGAAAUCCGUGGUGU
rnacentral:sRNA from 1 species